GGGCGUGUGCGAUACAUGUGGGGAAAAAUAGCCGAUGUCCACAUCAGAAUGAAACGGGUAGAAUGUUAUUUAGAUGACGUUGCCUGGCGUGGUAGCGGCCUAGGAAUUGUCUGUAGUUAGCGAUAUUUUGUGAAUAUAAUUAAUACAUGUUAUAUUUGAGUUGUUUUGUUAAAAGGUGAUCUCGCUGUUUUUAAUCAAGCGCUGUUCAGAACGCUACUGAAGACGCGCGUUGACAGUGUUGUCACGUGGUACGUGUUACUUUUUUCACCGCUGAUUUAGAUGGACUAAUCACAUUCUUUUGUGAUUAAUUGUGAGGCGAAUGGAAUUCAGUCCUUUUUUAUACAGCAUAUUUGUAAACAUCACUCAAAUAUCAAUCUUCAGUAUGAACAGAUUCAAACGAUUAUACAUUUCUGUUUACAAAUGCCUCCAAUAUUUCACUAAUCGAGCUGAUAGUUGAAUGCGGCUCAGUGGAAGUUUCGCUUUUUGGGUGUCAGGGAGCCCCCUGGAGGACUCUCAUGAGAACCAGUUAUUAGCACAGCAGCAUUUGCAGUCUGAUGUCCGUUUCUGUAAACCAUGUGACGUGUGUUUACAUCCUCUCAGCUGUUCCUCGAGAAAAACAGCGCUGGAUCUUCAACGCCACGAAAAUCUAUACAUCGCACAACAACAGUGCGCUCAAAACACAAACUCUAAUGUGCAGCUCCAACUGUGUAAUUCAGCGUGUUUUGCUCGUGCAGAGCCCGAUUCAUGGCUUUACAAAGGCAGGUAACAUCAGGUGCAUGCAACACCUUGCUGAGAAAUCAAAGCCGGCAGGCAUCAGGUGGCACGGACGCUCUCGCACAGCAUGGCUCUCGUUUUCAGGAGAGAAGGAUCUUGGCGUAGCUGAGAAUGGUCUGAGGUGAUUUGUGUGGGACACAGGCAUCACGACUGGGCAUCCCUGCGGAGAAUCGCUCCAGCGCUUUCAUCUGGAUGUGAGGACUGGUCUAGUUAUCCGUCUCUCACCUCCUCUGCAUUUUUCCUUUUUUUUUUUGGAUUGU
rnacentral:lncRNA from 1 species